GCCCUCGUGGAUCAGCGGUUAGAUCGUCUUCAUUCAGUUGCAAUCAUGCGGAUAAGAAACAUGUACAUAUGAGGAUGUCGUGAGUUCGAAUCUCACCGAGAGCA